GCAUGAGUGGCUCAGUGGUUUGAGCCCGGGGCUUGGGACCAAAAGGUCCCAGGUUCAAACCUUGCAGGCA
rnacentral:tRNA from 1 species